GACGAACGCUGGCGGCGUGCUUAACACAUGCAAGUCGAACGGAAAGGCCCUGCUUUUGUGGGGUGCUCGAGUGGCGAACGGGUGAGUAACACGUGAGUAACCUGCCCUUGACUUUGGGAUAACUUCAGGAAACUGGGGCUAAUACCGGAUAGGAGCUCCUGCUGCAUGGUGGGGGUUGGAAAGUUUCGGCGGUUGGGGAUGGACUAGCGGCUUAUCAGCUUGUUGGUGGGGUAGUGGCUUACCAAGGCUUUGACGGGUAGCCGGCCUGGGAGGGUGACCGGCCACCUUGCGCCUGAGAUACGGCCCAGACUCCUACGGGAGGCAGCAGUGGGGAAUAUUGCACAAUGGGCGGAAGCCUGAUGCAGCAACGCCGCGUGCGGGAUGACGGCCUUCGGGUUGUAAACCGCUUUCGCCUGUGACGAAGCGUGAGUGACGGUAAUGGGUAAAGAAGCACCGGCUAACUACGUG
rnacentral:rRNA from 1 species